rnacentral:rRNA from 1 species
GUAGGGUGCGAGCGUUGUCCGGAAUUAUUGGGCGUAAAGAGCUUGUAGGCGGUCUGUCGCGUCUGCUGUGAAAAUCCGGGGCUCAACCCCGGACUUGCAGUGGGUACGGGCAGACUAGAGUGUGGUAGGGGAGACUGGAAUUCCUGGUGUAGCGGUGAAAUGCGCAGAUAUCAGGAGGAACACCGAUGGCGAAGGCAGGUCUCUGGGCCACUACUGACGCUGAGAAGCGAAAGCAUGGGGAGCGAACAGGAUUAGAUACCCUGGUAGUCCAUGCCGUAAACGUUGGGAACUAGGUGUGGGUCUCAUUCCACGAGAUCCGUGCCGCAGCUAACGCAUUAAGUUCCCCGCCUGGGGAGUACGGCCGCAAGGCUAAA